UGGGGAAUAUUGCACAAUGGGCGCAAGCCUGAUGCAGCCAUGCCGCGUGUGUGAAGAAGGCCUUCGGGUUGUAAAGCACUUUCAGCGAGGAGGAAGGUGGUGGACUUAAUACGUUCAUCAAUUGACGUUACUCGCAGAAGAAGCACCGGCUAACUCCGUGCCAGCAGCCGCGGUAAUACGGAGGGUGCAAGCGUUAAUCGGAAUUACUGGGCGUAAAGCGCACGCAGGCGGUUUGUUAAGUCAGAUGUGAAAUCCCCCGGGCUCAACCUGGGAACUGCAUUUGAAACUGGCAAGCUAGAGUCUCGUAGAGGGGGGUAGAAUUCCAGGUGUAGCGGUGAAAUGCGUAGAGAUCUGGAGGAAUACCGGUGGCGAAGGCGGCCCCCCUGGACGAAGACUGACGCUCAGGUGCGAAAGCGUGGGGAGCAAAACAGGAUUAGAUACCCUGGUAGUCCACGCUGUAAAACGAUGUCGAUUUGGAGGUUGUGCCCUUGAGGCGUGGCUUCCGGAGCUAACGCGUUAAAUCGACCGCCUGGGGAGUACGGCCGCAAGGUU
rnacentral:rRNA from 1 species